rnacentral:rRNA from 1 species
AUUGAACGCUGGCGGCAUGCUUUACACAUGUAAGUCGAACGGUAACAGGCCGCAAGGUGCUGACGAGUGGCGAACGGGUGAGUAAUGCAUCGGAACGUGCCCAGUCGUGGGGGAUAACGCAGCGAAAGCUGUGCUAAUACCGCAUACGAUCUAUGGAUGAAAGCGGGGGACCGUAAGGCCUCGCGCGAUUGGAGCGGCCGAUGUCAGAUUAGGUAGUUGGUGGGGUAAAGGCCUACCAAGCCGACGAUCUGUAGCUGGUCUGAGAGGACGACCAGCCACACUGGGACUGAGAAACGGCCCAGACUCCUACGGGAGGCAGCAGUGGGGAAUUUUGGACAAUGGGCGAAAGCCUGAUCCAGCAAUGCCGCGUGCAGGAAGAAGGCCUUCGGGUUGUAAACUGCUUUUGUACGGAACGAAACGGUCUGGGUUAAUACCCUGGGCUAAUGACGGUACCGUAAGAAUAAGCACCGGCUAACUACGUGCCAGCAGCCGCAGUAAUAC